UUCCAGACUCCUACGGGAGGCAGCAGUGAGGAAUAUUGGUCAAUGGGCGGAAGCCUGAACCAGCCAAGUCGCGUGAGGGAAGAAGGCCCUGCGGGUCGCAGACCUCUUUGGACGGGGAGCAAGGCCGCCGACGUGUCGGCGGAAGGAGAGUACCCGUAGAACAAGCAUCGGCUAACUCCGUGCCAGCAGCCGCGGUAAUACGGAGGAUGCGAGCGUUAUCCGGAUUUAUUGGGUUUAAAGGGAGCGUAGGCCGGCUUUUAAGUCAGCUGUGAAAGUCCGCAGCUCAACCGUGGAAUUGCAGUUGAAACUGGAGGCCUUGAGUGCACACAGGGAUGCCGGAAUUCAUGGUGUAGCGGUGAAAUGCUUAGAUAUAAUGAAGAACGCCGAUCGCGAAGGCAAGUGUCCGGGGUGCAACUGACGCUGAGGCUCGAAAGUGCGGGUAUCAAACAGGAUUAGAUACCCCGGUACAU
rnacentral:rRNA from 1 species